CAUAAUUUGAGUUCUGGGAACUAAUUAGAUUUUACAGUGUGGAGUUCUAUCGAUUGUAUUGAUCAGAGAGUUAGAACAACAACUAAAGGAAACUUUCAUUAAUCUGAAAGGAACUAAUAUAGGUUAACAGGUAGCUGAUACAAAUCUGGAUUUAAAACCAUUUUUGGUUUGUUUGUUUUUCGUUUGACUCCUUGUUUUAUUCAAUAUUGCAGUUUAUAUGAUAGUAUUAUGGGUUUGUUAAACUGUUCCACGUGAAAAUGUUGGGAAAUGAAAUAUCACGGGUGGAAAUCAAUGAAAGUGGAAAUUCAGAAGAAAUUCUGUCCUUUUCCUCAUUACUGCACAUCAUAAAUAACUAUGUAAUGUGUCUGUUGCACACUUUGUAUGUCAGGAAUAACCAUAAAUGUGUUGUCUUACAAACGGCUGUAUCAGGUCUUUGCAUCCACAAUAAGCGAGGAUAACAGAACUCCUGGAAAGCAAAAAAAUCUGGUUCUUGUUUUUAAGACAGUCACCUUUAGUUUCACGCUGAGUGAUGCUGGAUUGUUGCAGAUGAACCUGAUUAUGUUUCCCACUGGGUUUUAUACUUCAGAGGCAACACAGAGUAAAGAGAAGCAUUGUUAUUUCAGUUUAACUUUAGUCUCAGUUUAGUUUUAUCCCCUUGUAAAUUUGAUAAGAGCCAAAUUGAGGAAACAAACUCAGUGUGUGGCCAGAAAAUGCCAUGGUGGCUUACAAACACAUGUCAGAACAAAAUAUGAAGGAUAAGACAUCACACGUAUAACGGAAAGAGACGCAGAAGAAUUCAUCUCUGAAAUUUCUCACUUUAUUGAACUGGCAUUUGCCCGAGACCACCGGAAUUGGUGGGAUGGACACAAAGAAAAUCAGAGGUAGACAAAAAUCCGUCAGGAGGGAUCAGGAGAGAACAACGGUCUGCCAAGCCAUUCCCUGCUUCAGAGUUUUGUAAUUUUGCACCUGCUGUCGCUUUAAUAUUAAACUAACGAGGUUGAAAUAGACUCACAGUGGUUUCUGCUUCUUAAUUAGACAGAUUCAUAUCCCUUCAUGUGCUUCUGUCUUCUGUGCUUCACUGUCUGUGAUCAUGCUCGAGCUCAUCUUCAGUCAGUUAUCUUCUGUUUGUUUCCUGUUUAAAGGUCAAGGAUCCCACCUUGACCUUGCCACCUGCCUGCGUGCCAUGGACGCCCAGCUCUCAAUGCCACCGUGGCUGUUCAGAGAGGAAACAUCAGUCCUGGUUUCUCAGGUUCUUAAUCCUGAUCCGCCUCAGAGCACGUCAGACUGGAUCGGUAAUCACACCAGCAGAGCCAGGAAGUGUGGUUCCCAGGGUUCAGAGCUGGACGGCUCCCCUGUUGCCUCUCUCAGCGGGGAUCAGUCCAGUCUGGGCCUGCUGCAGGCCAUGUUGGGUCAGGUGGAGCUGGAUUUGGUUGCACUGAGCCCUGAUACAGCAGCAACAUCUGCACAGAGUCCCAAAAAGCACAGGACACAAAGUCUCACUGGAUUUUCUGUGGCCUUGGUCUCUACACUGGGACGUUUGGUGCACAUCCUUAAAAAGAGGGAAGAUGAAGCUCAGAAGGAGGCACAGGAGAAGAGAAAACUGGAGGAGGAGCUGAAAGAGCAGCAGAGGCUCAUUGAUGCUCUCACUGCUGAAACCAUGACUCUGAGAGAGGAGGCUACAGCCCUGCAGGCAGGGUUACAGCAGCGGACGGCAGAGCUGGAGCGGAAGUUGGACACAGUGGUGUUGGCGAUGGGAGGGCUCGGACUGCUGAGUGAACACAGUGGCCAAACCCCACACUCUGAGGUUAAAGUUGCAGGCUGUCAGUCUGCGACGGGUGCUGAGCGAGUACCUGUUUCCUCUGCUGUCCUCCUCUCACCACCUCAACAGCGGGACCACUUUCAGCAUGUUCCUGCAACUUAUCCUGCGCCACCGCACCAGCAGCUUCCUGCUGUCGAUCUCCUGCACUCCUAUGGGGACCUCCGCGCUCACAGCUCAGACUCUAGUCUCAACAGUCUGCCCCUAGUUCAGCUUCCCUCUGCUUCCUCGCUAUCGCUGACCCCUGACCCUCUUCGCUCACAGAGGUCUCCGGGCACAGUGCUAGCUGAGAUUGCUCAGCUGAGCAGAGAGACCGAUCUUAUCAGGGCUCAACUCAGCCAGGCAAAGGGCCUCGGGUCAGGGGUCAGAGAAUCGCUCGACAGUGGCAAUGAGAGAAGAGGGUUGAGCUGCAGCAGCACCGGGAGAGUAACACCUCAGAGCGCUGCAGAGAGCAGGAUGUCUGGGUCCAGCUGUAAAGAGAGGUGUAGCCAGCAUGUGUGGACUCCUGAAGAACAACAGCUGACUCAACAGUGCAAACAGUGUGGAGCAACGCCUCCUGGAGCUGAACAGGCAGAGCGCUGCAGCCCGAGGUCGACUACUGGAAAUAAUCGAGCAACAGAAGCAAAGUGUUUCAGCCAGAGUCUCACCCUCUGUCUCCCUGAUCCCAGCUUCUACCUUCAGCCCGAAUCCAGAAUCCACGGAACGCCUGGAGGCAUCAGAGCUGCUGCCUGAGCGGGAGCUCCGGUCACACAGUGGUGGCGGUGAGGGUGAGAGGAGGUGAGUAUCAGAUCGACUCAGAGAGGGAUGUUAUGACAAAGAACAGCAAGGUUCUUUUUCCCAUUUCUUUUCCAGCACCUUAAACAGACACAAGGUGAUGAUGUCAGGAAGAAGAACUGACUGAAGAUCACAUGAUGUAGAGGAUUAAUUAUCUUUGCUGCAGGUUUGCUGGCUCUGAUGCAUCUUCUUACAGUUUUGGAAGAUAAACUAGGGAUGGCAAAACACAGCUCUUGGACUUGAAGUUCAGUUUUCGUCUCUUCCGCGGUGCGCGCUGUUCGCCUCCAGCAGAAGUCACAUGAUCCAUCCAGAUCCGUGUGCUCGGACUGAAAUCUGGAAACAGUGGAAGGUAACGCUGGCUGCAUUAACUAAAGACUUUUUUUAGGUCAGUAAAUGUGAGGUUUUGGUGACACUGCGCGGGUGGGUAAAAACUGUGAGUGAUUUGCGAGUUUGCUCGGUGUCAAUGGAAAAUUGUACUUAGUAGUCAGUAUAAGCUUUUAAUGAUAUAAGUUUGCAUAUGAUAGAAUACUGUAUGUUGACCUUUUGAUGACUUAGACUGUUGUCCACUAC